rnacentral:rRNA from 1 species
CCCUUCGCGGGGGACAACAGUCCGAAAGGAUUGCUAAUACCGCGUACGUCAGCGAGCUCUUUGGAGCACGUUGGGAAAGACGGCCUCUUCAUGAAAGCUGUCACCGAAGGAUGAGUCCGCGGCCCAUCAGCUAGUUGGCGGGGUAAUGGCCCACCAAGGCAUAGACGGGUAGCUGGUCUGAGAGGAUGAUCAGCCACACUGGAACUGAGACACGGCCCAA